GUCUACGGUCAUGCUACCCUGAACAAGCCCGAUCUCGGAAGCUAAGCAGGGUCGAGCCUGAUUAGUACUUGGAUGGGAGACCAUCUAGGAAGACCAGGCGCUGUAGGCA
rnacentral:rRNA from 1 species